UACGGAGGGGGCUAGCGUUGUUCGGAAUUACUGGGCGUAAAGCGCGCGUAGGCGGACCUGCAAGUCGGGGGGUGAAAGCCCGAGGCUCAACCUCGGAACUGCCUUCGAUACUGCGGGUCUCGAGUCCGGGAGAGGUGAGUGGAAUUCCUAGUGUAGAGGUGAAAUUCGUAGAUAUUAGGAAGAACACCAGUGGCGAAGGCGGCUCACUGGCCCGGUACUGACGCUGAGGUGCGAAAGCGUGGGGAGCAAACAGGG
rnacentral:rRNA from 1 species